rnacentral:rRNA from 1 species
ACUCCUACGGGAGGCAGCAGUGGGGAAUAUUGCACAAUGGGCGCAAGCCUGAUGCAGCCAUGCCGCGUGUAUGAAGAAGGCCUUCGGGUUGUAAAGUACUUUCAGCGAGGAGGAAGGCGAUAAGGCUAAUAACCUUGUCGAUUGACGUUACUCGCAGAAGAAGCACCGGCUAACUCCGUGCCAGCAGCCGCGGUAAU